rnacentral:pre_miRNA from 1 species
UAGACAUAUUUUUGUAUUCGACUGUAUUCAACUGCGUGAAACAGGGGAUUGCAACUGUUUUUAAACGGAAAGUGAAUCAAUUAACAUAAUAGACUCCU